rnacentral:rRNA from 1 species
GAUCCUGGCUCAGGACGAACGCUGGCGGCGGUGCCUAAUACAUGCAAGUCGAGCGGAUGACGGGGAGCUUGCUCCCCUGAUUCAGCGGCGGACGGGUGAGUAACACGUGGGCAACCUGCCUGUAAGAUCGGGAUAACUCCGGGAAACCGGGGCUAAUACCGGAUGGUUCCUUCCUCCCGCAUGGAGGAAGGCGGAAAGACGGUUUCGGCUGUCACUUACAGAUGGGCCCGCGGCGCAUUAGCUAGUUGGCGGGGUAACGGCCCACCAAGGCAACGAUGCGUAGCCGACCUGAGAGGGUGAUCGGCCCACACUGGGACUGAGACACGGCCCAGACUCCCUACGGGAGGCAGCAGUAGGGAAUCUUCCGCAAUGGACGAAAGUCUGACGGAGCAACGCCGCGUGAGCGAAGAAGGCCUUCGGGUCGUAAAGCUCUGUUGUAAGGGAAGAACAAGCUGCCAGGUUAACUGCCGGCGCCCUGACGGUA